GUGUCAACAGUGUAGCAUCUUGAAUUUGAGUGCUUGUGCCUUCACCUCCUUCACAUUGCUCAGAAGUAUGCUGAUGUGAGUCCCUAUCGGGCGUAAACUCUGGAAAAGUCACAGGGGACCUAGAAUGCCCAAUCAAUACACCUCUCUCAUGCAUGACUUCGGUCUGAGGUGUGACAAAAGUAGAUGCGCCAGCUUGGUC
rnacentral:lncRNA from 1 species